AGAGUUUGAUCCUGGCUCAGGAUGAACGCUAGCGGCAGGCUUAAUACAUGCAAGUCGUGGGGCAGCGCAGUGUAGCAAUACAUGGGCGGCGACCGGCAAACGGGUGCGGAACACGUACACAACCUUCCUUUAAGUGGAGCAUAGGCCUAAGGAAACUUGGAUUAAUACUCCGUAACAUAUUGAAGUGGCAUCACUUUAUUAUUAUAGCAGCAAUCCGCUAGAAGACGGGUGUGCGGCUGAUUAGGUAGUUGGCCGGGUAACGGCCCACCAAGCCUACGAUCAGUAACUGGUGUGAGAGCACGACCAGUCACACGGGCACUGAGACACGGGCACGACUCCUACAGGGAGGCAGCAGUAAGGAAUAUUGGUCAAUGGACGAAAGUCUGAACCAGCCAUGCCGCGUGGAGGAUGAAGGCCCCUCUGGGUUGUAAACUUCUUUAUAUG
rnacentral:rRNA from 1 species